UCAAUUCAGAGCUCGCUUUUCUUGCCACGAAGACUAGUUGCCACAGAAUAUGCACUCACUUUUCUUCUCGACGCAAGUGGCUGAGGGCUGCGAGAUGCAAUCAUUGUUGCUUUUGGAAUGCGUCACUUUGGUUUUCCUUUUCUUGACAAGCAAAAAUGUGUUUCCAGCUGGCAGCCUGGCUUCUCCGGUCUAUCACAAUGGAAGAAGCUUUGAUCUGGGAGGAACUCUGCCAGGGAUUCUUCCAAGAAGGCGGCAAACACAGAUUGAACGUUGGCUGAACAUCGCUUUAAGGAGGGCAAAUAGGUUUCUUACAAGAAUAGGCUUCUCUCCUUUGCGGAUUGAGGACGGAAGUGCAUACACGAACAUGCGACUUACCUGGGGAGCAAAUGGCUUUCGCAGUGUGUCGGAGUAACGUACUCUGGCAUUGGUAAACACGUAAUAAAUACAUGACACAACCUCG